rfam:Gasterosteus aculeatus cont1.005303, whole genome shotgun sequence.
CUAUAUAUACCCUGUAGAACCGAAUUUGUGUGAUGAUACCAUAAUCACAAAUUCGAUUCUAGGGGAGUAUAUGGU